rnacentral:lncRNA from 1 species
AUGCAGCUCGCACUGAGCCUGCCACAGUCCCUGCAGGGAGCCCUGCCUCUGACGGCUCCAGCUGGCAGGUGGCUGCUUUCCUUGCACGUGUGGGAGAAGUUCAUAGUUUCUUGGAUUCAGCCAACAGGCUUGUUACUCACUCACAUACUUCAUUUGCAAUCAGAGACUAAAGCUGAGACUGUGACACAGACACAGCCAUGCCUCUGCAAUCCUACAUGACAUCGCUUACGAGCAGACAGCAUGUCCUGUUUCCUCACGUGUAGAUACCACAGGGCUGUCCAUUCUGAUCUCUAACACUGGCUCUUAUCAGAUCUCAAGGAACCACUAAUAGAGUGACUGGCAACAAACAAAUUGCUGAAAAGAGCAAAGAGAAACUCCCCUGCUUACCUCAGGCCCAUCAAAGACUGGCAGCUGGAUCCAGCUUGGGCUGCUCCCUGGAGCAAGUAGACAACGUAGAGUGAAUGACACUUAACCUUACAGCAAAUGGAGGACUUAAAUCCAUUCACUGAAAUUAUAUGCCUUCCUAGAAAAGCACAUCUCAUGUGAUUAAAAAUCUAACUUCCAGCUAUGAAAUUCUGAGAACUUUUGUGCCAGGCAAAGAUUUACACAAAAAUCUAUUUCAGAGUGCAUGAAGAGACCUGAGAGACCUAUUUGUCACAGUGAAAAUGAAUGUCAGGCUGGGGAGGAAAUACAAACAUUUUACUUGCUUCAGCUGAUUCAGGUGUUCAGAUUGCUGUCAGAUUAGCAGAUAAGCUCCGUGAGGGUUACUGGGGAGCUGAUCAUGGCUGAGGGCAGGCAGGGAGCAAACACCCUGCAAGGCUCCUGUUUCUCUGACUGGCUCCUGGCAAUGUAAUCAGCACAGCCUGCUUUACUUCAUUCAGAUCCCAAGCACCUGCAAACACAGCCAGGUCCUUGGCGUGAGAUUGUUUUCAAGCUUGUUACCUGGGAAGGGUGGUGUAAAGUCCUUUGCCCCAGAGGCCUCUUUGUCUUUGACCUAUGCACGAGCCCUCAGUGACUUAGGGUACAGAGCAGAAAGCGAAGGAAGGUUCUGGAUGCAGCUCAGGCUGUGGGUCCAAAGCCCAGCGGUGGCUCCAGCUGUGUCUGAGGGCCCUCACUCUGGUUGCCAGAGGCAGGAGUGAUGAUGGAAGGCAUGUUUCUCUUCCCUGCCAGCAUUCCAGUGACGAUGCCAGGGCCCAGAAUGGACCCGGAAGUCUGGACCUGACCUCCACACUAGCGGUGUCCUGCUCCUAAGGAGAGCACAGUACAAAA